rnacentral:rRNA from 1 species
CAGUGUACCCGCGGCAAGACGGAAAGACCCCGUGAACCUUUACUACAGCUUGACACUGAACACUGAGCCUUGAUGUGUAGGAUAGGUGGGAGGCUUUGAAGCGUGGACGCCAGUCUGCGUGGAGCCGGCCUUGAAAUACCACCCUUUAAUGUUUGGUGUUCUAACGUAGGCCCGUAAUCCGGGCUGCGGACAGUGUCUGGUGGGUAGUUUGACUGGGGCGGUCUCCUCCCAAAGCGUAACGGAGGAGCACGAAGGUUGGCUAAUCCUGGUCGGACAUCAGGAGGUUAGUGCAAUGGCAUAAGCCAGCUUGACUGCGAGAGUGACGGCUCGAGCAGGUGCGAAAGCAGGUCAUAGUGAUCCGGUGGUUCUGAAUGGAAGGGCCAUCGCUCAACGGAUAAAAGGUACUCCGGGGAUAACAGGCUGAUACCGCCCAAGAGUUCAUAUCGACGGCGGUGUUUGGCACCUCGAUGUCGGCUCAUCACAUCCUGGGGCUGAAGUAGGUCCCAAGGGUACGGCUGUUCGCCGUUUAAAGUGGUACGCGAGCUGGGUUUAGAACGUCGUGAGACAGUUCGGUCCCUAUCUGCCGUGGGCGCUGGAGAAUUGAGGGGGGUUGCUCCUAGUACGAGAGGACCGGAGUGAACGCACCGCUGGUGUCCGGGUUGUCACGCCAGUGGCACUGCCCGGUAGCUAAGUGCGGAAAAGAUAAGUGCUGAAAGCAUCUAAGCACGAAACUUGCCCCGAGAUGAGUUCUCCCUGAGCCUUUAAGGCUCCUGAAGGGACGUUGAAGACGACGACGUUGAUAGGCCGGGUGUGUAAGCGCAGCGAUGCGUUGAGCUUACCGGUACUAAUGACCCGUGAGGCUUAACCUUACAACGCCAGAGGCGUUUUG